rnacentral:tRNA from 1 species
UUCGCCGUAGCUCAGCGGUAGAGCGCCCGGCUCAGCAUUCCGGGUGGACGCCGGUUCGAGCCCGGCCGGCGAAG